ACCUGAUGAUGUGGGCAUUUAUUGAGGUAGUCCCUAAAACGCUCCCAAGUCUCGAAAAAGAGUUCCCCAUCCAUCUGUGUGAAACUCGUGAUGGCUCUUCGAAGUU